UACAAGCUACUAAGGGCACAUGGUGGAUGCCUUGGCAUCGAGAGCCGAUGAAGGACGUAGGAGUCUGCGAUAAGCCCUGGGGAGCUGACAACCGAGCUGUGAUCCGGGGGUGUCCGAAUGGGGAAACCCGGCCAGAGUCAUGUCUGGUCACCGGCGCCUGAACACAUAGGGCGUUCGGAGGGAACGUGGGGAAGUGAAACAUCUCAGUACCCACAGGAAGAGAAAACAACAGUGAUUCCGUGAGUAGUGGCGAGCGAAAGCGGAUGAGGCUAAACCGUGCGGAUGUGAUAGACGGCAGUUGUUGUCCGUGCGGGGUCGUGGGAGCGCAUUGCUGGUUCUGCCGAGCUGGCGAGAAGUGAUAAAACUCAGGUGAAGUCGAAGGGCCUGGAAUGGUCCGGCGUAGAGGGUGAGACCCCUGUAGGCGUAAGUCUGAGUCUUCUUUUGUGUUAUCCCGAGUAACGCGUGACUCCUGGAAUUGCGCGUGAAUUUGGCGGGACCACCCGUUAAGCCUAAAUACUCCUCGAUGACCGAUAGCGGACAAGUACCGUGAGGGAAAGGUGAAAAGUACCCCGGGAGGGGAGUGAAAUAGUACCUGAAACCAUGUGCCUACAAUCCGUCGGAGCGAUCCCUUGUGGGUUGUGACGGCGUGCCUUUUGAAGAAUGAGCCUGCGAGUUAGUGGUACGUGGCGAGGUUAACCCGUUGGGGGGUAGCCGUAGCGAAAGCGAGUCCGAAUAGGGCGUUGAGUCGCGUGCUCUAGACCCGAAGCGGAGUGAUCUAUCCAUGGGCAGGUUGAAGCGCGGGUAAGACCGCGUGGAGGACCGAACCCACUUAGGUUAAAAACUGAGGGGAUGACCUGUGGAUAGGGGUGAAAGGCCAAUCAAACUCCGUGAUAGCUGGUUCUCCCCGAAAUGCAUUUAGGUGCAGCGUCGUUUGUUUCUUGCCGGAGGUAGAGCACUGGAUGGUCUAGGGGGCCUACAAGCUUACCGAAAUCAGCCAAACUCCGAAUGCCGGCAAGUGAGAGAGCGGC
rnacentral:rRNA from 1 species